AUGAGCAUGUGCAUUGUCAGAAUUUUUGCAAAAACUGGAGAAAAAAAAGAAAAAGCUCUUAUAAAAGGCACUUCCCUCCCCCUGGGGAAAAUUCCUCCUUUUGUUUUUAUUAUUCACCACAUUUCCUUCUUUUAUUCCUCUUUCUCAUCUCGUUCUUUUGUUCCCUUUCCCUCCUCAGAUGAUUCUCCUCCUCGCAGCGGGAGGCUCCCAGCAGCUGGGGACGGAGAGCUGCGGCCCGCGGGAUGGCGAGGGGCUCGCCGGCAGGAAUCCUGGUAAAAUGCAGUGAAGGAUUUAAGGUCAUCAUCUGUCUCUCCCUAACUUCUGACAUCUCUUUAUAACAAGAAAGAGUCACAGCCAACUGUAACAGGAGGGCAACACAAUGAAUCCCGGUAAGACAGGGAAGGGGGGAGGUCUGCUGCCCCUCUGCCCCUAUUUCUUCCUUGCAGAACAGAAGUACCAUCUGUUCCUAGCCCUAACAUCCAUGCAUUUGAUUUCCAUUCCAUAAUAACUAGCACAGGAAAAAGAUUAUCAAGUGGUCUAAAGCACUAUCAGCAUUAGCGAGUCUUCCCCAUCCAGCAUGUUUUGUUUUCACCUCCAAAGAUCUGUAGAUAAAAUGGAUACAGACAAAUGCCUUAAUUGCCUGGAAUUAUUCGUUUCUCUGGUAGAGGGCCAUAUGGUCAAGGUGUGGAACAUGACCAGACUAAGGAUAUUUAGGUACUGGGGUUAGAAAGAUUUAGGAAGACCAGACGAGAGGAAGGAUGUUUAGAUACUUCAAUCUGAAUUCAGUAAACCAGUCCCUAUUACUUGGUGCUGUGAUAUCUCAUCAGAAUAAUGCAAAAUUGACUUUCUGUUUGAUGUGUGAGGCUUGACAGUCAGUAUUAAAGUAUAAGCCUCUUUCAAAGGAAUCUGUAAAAAGUUUCUUAUGCUUCACAGUAAAACUUUCUGCAUUCUCAAAUUAAAAGCCCAACACCAGCAAAUCCCCCAAACACAAUCCAGCAAACUCAGCUUGAGAUCCAAAAAAACAAUGAGAACUUCUUGCCUUCCUAACUCAGUGCAGGUGCCAAAGAUGCUGUAGAUCCCCCACUUAUGCCCAGUUAUGCGUGGUGUAUUGUUGAUGAAAGUAAUGGGGUGGAGCAGUAGAUGUCAGUGAAGGAAAAGCAACUACAAUGUGAUGUUUGCAAAGCAAGGUAAUGAUUAACCAAUAGGUUCAGUGGGACUUCUCUGUCCUAGCUCCUCAGCCAUUUCAAUGCUAUUACCUCUUGAUCUCUAUACCAGAUCAUUUUAUGUCUCUCUUUUCAUCUUCUUAUCUUUUCCCCCUUUUCUGGUGCUGCCUAGCCCACCUUGUUACUUAAAGCACUUUGAUGACCAGAACUUUGAUGUCCAUGCUGUCAGAUCCCAGCUUUCUACUCAAGGACUGGGGAAGGAUCUCAGCCAUGGGAGAAGCAUGGACUGUAAAUAAACUCAGAAGAUGAUCUAAGAGGACA
rnacentral:lncRNA from 1 species